GGAAAAAGAAAGCAAGCCUGAGAUGGGCAUGCGUAUUACUCCCUAAACACACUGCGCAUGCUCAGUUUCAAAGGGCAAGGAGACCACUGGGCAUGCGGAAAGCCCGCCCUAAGGGAAGAAUCAUGGGAAAGAGGCGAGUCUAUAGAGUUCUAGGAUUAAGGUUAAAGGCCUCCUUUUUUCUCUCUUGGACCUUCAGGCGCCCCCUUGGGUCUCUUCCAAGCAAAUUUUCGUUUCUUUCCUUUUCCAAAGCCUUUUAAAAUAAACUUCCACUCCUGCUCUGAAACUUGCCUCGGUCUCUUUUCCUGCUUUAUGCACCUCAGUCGAAUUCUUUCUCCUGAGGAAGCAAGAGCUGAAGUUCCUGUGGGCUCCUGUGGAUGCCGCGGAAAACUCAGGGUAUCUCAGAUCUCUGCUGCCACUAACACUGAAGAGACCAUCAAGCUUCAGAUGAUCGUGCAACAAAGGUUCCAGCCAGUUCUAGGUGAAGACACCACUGCUGGCCAUGAAAGAGCUACCCUGCCUCCACUAGACAGAGCAGGGAACACCAGGUGAUGGUGCAGAUUGAGCUGUAGACUCACCUAGACAAAUACCCCCUUGGGGUUCACUUCCUACCCAAGAAGCUGGAUGAGGCAGUGGCUGAAGUCCACCUGCACAGGCUAAAUGUGAAGUUGACCAAGCUGACUGAGAAGCAGGCCCAGUACCUGGGCAUGUCCUGUGAUGGCCCCUUCAAACUGGAUGACUACCACUACUGAGAACCAGGCCUGCCCUUCACCUACCAGCUGCUGUCCUUGCCCUGGCCCUGCCUCCCCUAAGAGCAAAUGACACCAACUUUGUGAUUGUUUUCAGUGUCCCCCAUUGACUCCCUGGGGCUGGUCACUUAGGUUUUGGCCUCUACUGCAUCCCUCAUACUGUUGCAAGUGUGGCAGGGGGAAUUGAAAAGCCCCCCCCCCCUCAAGCUCUGGUCAUGAUGAAGGUACAAGGGAGACAUCCACAGGGAACCAUGAGCUCAGUGGUCUUGGAAUUGCUCACUAAGUCAGUCCUUCCUUAGCCUGGAAGUUGGUCAUGGAGUCACAAAGCCCAUGUACUUUACCAUCUAGGCCUUCACCUGGUCUGUGGACUUACACCCGUGUGCUUGGUUUACUGGUUCAGUAGUUCCUCAGACCAUGACAAAUGGAAGGAGCUAUACUGAAGAACAAUGAGGAACUCUUUGAAUUUUCCUGAGCACGUGACUUACUGCUGGGCCUUCCCUUAAACAUCAGAACAAUGAGAUUUGUCCCUAUUUUACAGGGGUUAGAAUAGACUAUUAAGGGACAACUGAGAAAGGACAGAGAAGUGACAGCCAGAGGUUGAGAGGGGCCAUAAAAACAUACAAUCAGACAUAUAUCUGCUACCACUUUGUAGCAAGAUGGUUCCUAUCAUAACUCUGGGUCAAAAAGAUAGUAAUUUGGUUUAUAAUGUUGAAAGAAAGCAGAAAGGUGGGUAAGUAAAAAUAUUACUCCCUAAAAGAAAAAAAGAAAUGAUAUUUCUCCUUCUGAGAAAUGUUUAUUCAGAUCCUUUGACCACUUUUAAAUCAGAUUAUUAUUAUUAUUGUUGUUGUUAUUUGAAUUCCUUUUAUAUUCUGAAUAUUAGUCCCCUGUAGAAUGAGUGGUUUGCAAAUAUUUUCUUCCAUUCUACAGAUUGUCUCUUCACUCUAUUGAUUAUGUUCUUUGCUGUGCAGAAAGUUUUUAGUUUGAUACAGGCUAUUUGUCUAUUUUUGCUUUUGUUGCUUGUGCUUUUGAAGUCUUACUGAUAAAAUCAUUGCCUAGGCCAAUGUUGUCAUCUAUUUCCCCUAUUAUUUUUUUUCUAGUAGUUUUGGGUCUUGCUUUUAAGUCUUUAGUCCAUUUUGAGUUAAUUUUUGUAUAUGGUAAGAAGUAGGGGUCUCAUUUCAUUCUUCUUUAUAGAGAUAUUCAGUUUUCCCAGCACUGCUUAUUGAAGAGGCUGUCCGUUCCCCAAUGUAUAUUCUUGGCACCUUUCUUAAAAAUAAGUUGGCUAUAAAUGCAUAGAUUUAUUUCUGGAUUUUCCAUUCUGUUUCAUUGACCUUUAUGUAUCCAUUUUUAUACAAGUACCAUGUUGUUUUGGUUACUACAGCUUUAUAGUAUAUUUCCAAGUCAGGUGGUGUGAUGCUACAACUUUGUUCUUUUUACUCAGUAUUGCUUUGGCUAUUCAAGAUCUUUUGUGGUUUCAUACAAAUUUUAAGAUUGUGUUUUCUAUUUCUGUGUGGAAUGCCAUUUGUAUUUUUCAAUCUGUAGGUUGUUUUGGGUAGCGUAGACAUUUUAACAAUAUCAAUUCUUCCAAUUUAGGAGUGUAGAAUCCCUUUUCAUUUUGUGUGUGUAUGUCCUUUUCAAUUUCUUUCAUUGCUUUGUAGUUUUCAUUGUGGAGCUCUUCCACCUCCUAGGUUAAAUUUGUUCCUAGGUAUUUUAUUUCUUUUGUAGUUAUUGUAAAUGAGAGUGCUUUCUUGAUUUUUUCAUCUAGUUAGUUAUUGGCUGUAUAAAAAUGCUACUGAUUUUUGUAUGUUGAUUUUGUAUCCAGCAACUUUACUGAAUUUAUCAGUUCUAAGCGUUUUUUUUUGCAGAGUUCUUAGUUUUUUUCUUUUUAUAUACAAGAUCACAUUAUCUGCAAAGAGGGACAAUUUGAUUUCUUCUUUUCCAGUUUGUGUGCCCUUUAUUUCUUUUGGUUUUUUUGAGACAGAGUCUCACUUUGUUGCCUAGGCUGGAAUGCAGUGGUGUGAUCUCAGCUCACCACAACCUCUGCCUCCUGGGUUCAAGUGAUUCUCCUGCCUCAGCCUCCCGAGUAGCUGGGAUUACAGGUGUGUACCACCAUGCCCAGCUAAUUUUUGUAUUUUUAGUAGAGACGGGGUUUCACCAUGUUGGUCAGGCUGGUCUUGAACUCCUGACCUCGUGAUCCACCCACCUCUGCCUCCCAAAGUGCUGGGAUUACAGGCGUGAGCCACCGCGCCCGGCCUUCUCUUGCCUGAUUAGCUAGAACUUUCAGUAGUAUGUUGAAUAAGAAUGGUGAAAGUGGGUAUUCUUGUCUUGUUCCAGUUCUUAGAGAAAAAGCUUUUUCCUGUUCAAUAUCAUGUUAGUUGUUGAUUUGUCAUAUAUAGACAUUGUAUUGGGGUGUGUUCCUUCUGUAUCAUAUUUGUUUAGAGUUUUUAUCAUGAAGAAAUGUUGAAUUUUAUCAGAUGUUUUUUCUGUGUUUAUUGAGAUGAUCAUAUGGGUUGUUUUUCAUUCUGUUGAUGUGAUAUAUCACAUUUAUUGAUUUGCAUAUGUUGAUCCAUUCCUGUAUGAUGGAUAUCAGCCUGUAGUUUUCUUUGGUGUGUGUGUGUGUGUGUAUGUGUGUGUCCUUUUCUGGUUUUGGUAUCAGUGUAAUGCUGACUUCGUAGAAUGAGUUAGUAAAGAUUUUUUUCUCAUCAGUUUUUUGAAAUAGUUGGAGAAGAAUUGCAUCAGUUUUUCCUUAAAAUUUGGUAGAAUUGAACAGUGAAGCCAUUCAGUCCUGAGUUCUUUGAUGGGAUUUCUUUUUUAGAAAAUAGAGACAGGAUCUUGCUCUGUCAUCCAGGCUGGAAUGCAGUGGCAUGAUUGUAGCUCCUGGCAGCCUUGAACUUCUGGGCUCAAGCGAUCCUCCCACUUCAGCCUUGAUGGAAAACUUUUAAUUACUGCUUUGAUCUCAUUACUUAUUGUCAGUCUGUUCUAGCUUCCUGUUUCAUCAUGGUUAAAUUUUGGAAGCUUACAUGUGUCCAAAAAUCUAUCCAUUUCUUCUAGGCCUUUCAAUUUGUUGGCAUGUAGUUGUUCAUAAUAGUCUCCAAUGAUCAUUUGUAGUUCUAUGGUAUCAGUUGUAAUGUCUCUUUUUUGUUUCUGUUUUUAUUUACUUGGUUCUUCUAUUUCUUUUCUUUUUUUUUUAGAGAUGGGGUCUCACUGUCGUUCUGGAGUGUAGUGGUUCAAUCAUCUCUCACUGCAGCCUUGAACCCCUAGGCUCAAAGGAUCCUCCCACCUCAGCCUCCUGAAUAGCUGGGACUAGAGGCAUGAGCCACUAUGUCUUGCUGAUUAAAAAUUGUUUUUGCAAAGUUGGAUGUCUCACUUUACUGCCUAAGCUGGUCUUGAAAUCCUGGCUUCAAGCAAUCCUUUCACUUUGGCCUCCCAAAAUGCUGGGAUUACAGGCAUGAGUCAAUAUGCCCAGUCUCUUUUCUUUCUUAGUUACUCUAGAAAAUGGCUUGUUGAUUUUGUUAUUUCAAAAAAAUAAAUGUUUUAUUUUGUUGUAUUGUUUGUUUUUGUCUCUAUUUUGUUUAGUUCUACUCUGAU
rnacentral:lncRNA from 1 species